rnacentral:rRNA from 1 species
UACGGAGGAUCCGAGCGUUAUCCGGAUUUAUUGGGUUUAAAGGGUGCGUAGGCGGCCUUGUAAGUCAGGGGUGAAAGAUGGUAGCUCAACUAUCGCAGUGCCUUUGAUACUGCAGGGCUUGAAUGUACUUGAGGUAGGCGGAAUGUGACAAGUAGCGGUGAAAUGCAUAGAUAUAUCACAGAACACCAAUUGCGAAGGCAGCUUACUAAAGUAUGAUUGACGCUGAGGCACGAAAGCGUGGGGAUCAAACAGG